GUGAGGGCAAUCUGGCUGCAACAUCUAUCACCCCAUUUAUGGCCAGAGUUGACUGGGCUGAAAAGAGGAUGACCUUCCUCAAUAGAGGAGGACUAUUCUUUGGUCAAGGGUAUAUGAGUAGCUGUACUCCCCUACUAGAAAUUCCAAACAAGCUCUCAAAAAGAUAUGAAGUCAAAACAAUGAAAUAUCACCACACAGCUAUUAGAGUGAGAAAAUCCAAAACACUGACAACCCCAAAU
rnacentral:snRNA from 1 species